rnacentral:rRNA from 1 species
AUGCGUGGGAUAACUGACGGUACUAGAUGAAUAAGCACCGGCUAACUCGUGCCAGCAGCCGCAGUAAUACGGAGGGUGCAAGCGUUGUCCGGAUUUAUGGGUUUAAAGGUGCGUAGGCGGCCCGGUAAGUCAGUGGUGAAAGCCUCCAGCUCAACUGGAGAACUGCCAUUGAUACUGCCGGGCUUGAGUACAGACGAGGUUGGCGGAAUUGGUUGUGUAGCGGUGAAAUGCAUAGAUACAAUCAAGAACUCCGAUUGCGUAGGCAGCUAACUAGGCUGUAACUGACGCUGAGGCACGAAAGCGUGGGGAGCGAACAGGAUUAGAUACCCUGGUAGUCCACGCUGUAAACGAUGAUUACUCGAUGUUGGCGAUAAACUGUCAGCGUCUUAGCGAAAGCGUUAAGUAAUCCACCUGGGGAGUACGCCCGCAAGGGUGAAACUCAAAGGAAUUGACGGGGGCCCGCACAAGCGGUGGAGCAUGUGGUUUAAUUCGAUGAUACGCGAGGAACCUUACCUAGGCUAGAAUGCGCGUGACCGGUCCAGAGAUGGACCUUUCCUUCGGGACACAAAGCAAGGUGCUGCAUGGCCGUCGUCAGCUCGUGCCGUGAGGUGUUGGUUAAGUCCCGCAACGAGCGCAACCCCUAUCUUUAGUUGCCAGCACAUUAUGGUGGGGACUCUAAAGAGACUGCCUGCGCAAGCAGUGAGGAAGGUGGGGAUGACGUCAGGUCAUCAUGGCCCUUACGCCUAGGGCUACACACGUGCUACAAUGGGCGGUACAGAGGGUUGCUACCUGGUGACAGGAUGCCGAUCUCAAAAAGCCGCUCUCAGUUCGGAUCGAAGUCUGCAACUCGACUUCGUGAAGCUGGAAUCGCUAGUAAUCGCGUAUCAGCAAUGACGCGGUGAAUACGUUCCCGG